CGGCCCUCUGGAGACCCGGUUCAGGAACGGCGGACGAUGUGUUUCAAAAAACUGGCGUGGUAAUUCUCACAAACGGUUACGUUCACGAGAAUUUUGCUAUACUAUACUACAGAGCUAGUUUGGAUGGAGCAUUUGCAUCCGCUGCGGGAGGGCCAGUCCCAGGCCUAGCUGCAUUACCGCCCGAGAAGGUC